CUGAUGACGCAGUUUAAUUUUAAAACUGAGUUUUACUGUCUAUUGUAAUGUACAGAAGUGUUGGGCCAGCAGUUUCACCAACAGCUGCUAGAUUUGUUGAUGUAUCUUUUCAGUAGUAUUGGAGAGUGAAGUCGGAAACCUGAAGGAGUCAUUCGACGAGGUUUGGAGAGGAUCGACCAUUAUUGAAUUCGUUCAAGAAAGAGUGAUCUGCAUGAGAUAACCUCUGCUAAAGCAGAAAAGGUUGUGCAGUAUCUAGUCUAUUCUACAGAGGAAAAGCAGACAGUUUAUAAACUGGGAGCAAAACAGAUUACCUCAUCUGCAUAUCAUCCAGAAUCGGAAGGAGCCUGGGAGAGAUUCCAUUCUACCCUCAAAACUAUGAUUAAGACGUAUUGUGUGGGUAAUGAAAAGGACUGAGAUGAAGUGUUUGGUGCCAAUGGUAUCAGCUUCUCAACAUCAGAAGGAAUUUCAGGGGCCGGCUUGCGGUGCAAUGACAUCAGCGCUGGACCCGGGAGUGGAAGUUCCCGGGUUCGAAGCCAGUCGGCUCCGCUCCCGGGUACACUUUCCAUCCGUGUCGGUUUGGGUGUCGAGAUUGCAAUUCGACCUUGUAAAAUAAAGGGAAAAAUACUGCGAAAAUGUCUGUGUGAGGAGUGGCGCGCCACA